GGAACUUGAUGAUCCUUGGAGAUCCCUUCCAACCCUGGCUAUUCUGUGAUAUUCUAGUAAAAUAAGAUGCACUAACCUCAUGAUCAUGACUGCAGUUUUUAAUAAUCCUGUGCUUUCAGCAGAUGUAAAUAUGGGAGAAAUAAAUUCAAAUAGCAUCAAUCUCUGAUGGUAGUAUACGAGAAGGCUGUGUGAGAUACAUCUUAUGUCAUUUUAUACGCUUAAAGUGCUCCAUUCUUUUUCUUCCCAUAUCAGAACCACAACAAACUUGAAGAUGAGUCCAGCCAUCUUCCUAGCAAACUUCUGUUGACUGAGUUUCGAUCACUGGUUGUCAGCUGUCCAAGACCGAACAGCCCUACUGUUAGAAAUCCCAAAUGUAGGGGACAGAACAACUUCAAAACGUUCAGAAAGGUCCCUUAUCCAGGGGCUGGGCAACUUCCAUACAUUAUUGGAGGAUCAGAUUUGGUUGCUCACCAAACUAGAAAGAAUUCAGAACUAGAAGAAUGGUUAAGAGAAGAAUUGGAGGAACAGAAUCGACGUGCAAGGGAAGAAUUGCUUGCUGAUGAUCUCUUUAGAUAUGAUCCCAACGUGAAAAGGAGAAGAUAAAUUGUGAUCUGAACUUACAGCAAUUCUGUAUCAAAAUAUGGUUUCUGCUCCACUGAUGUGUUGGCUGGUUACAGCAUGUAAUACAUACACAUGUAUGACUAUCUGAGCUAUCUGUUAUUGUAUGAUUUGUUUUUUAAAUCUUGCUUUUAUUACAGAAAAAGAGAAGUUUCUUUCAACGAUUGUACAUUCAAGACCUUAAUGUUUUUGUUUCAGAGUAAUGCUUAGGAAAAUACUGCAUGUAUUUAGAAUUUAAUUUCAGACAGCUUCUUUCUAAUGUUUACUUGUCAAUACUAUUGGAGAAAGUGGGGGGGAUAAGAGCGGGAAGAAAGGAAGCUAGGAUCAGGCUUUCUUAAUUUUAGAAAGCCUUGUUCAUUAAUUAGCUUUUUGUCUAUUAUCACUUUUGCCUUACGGUGAAAGUUUUGAAGAGGACAUAAUCAAAACAAAGAAGUUACACCAAACCUUACAUUUUUCUUAUUUACACAGGAACAAAUUUAAUACUAAUCAACUCCAGCUUCUUCCUGUUCUUGAAGUUGGUAACAACAGAUAAUUUAUAGAUAAACACCAAUUUUUUGUGAUGGCAAACAUUGAAACAAAUUUUAGUAUUAAAAAAUGAGAGAUCUUGCCUCGUUAUCAGUAUUCAAAUAGUCAAUAUUUGUUUCAACAUCCUACAGCUGGGCUAGAAACAGUCCUGUAAACUCAGGAAAAUUUUACAACAGCAACAAGCAGUUCAGUUUUGUUUUUUUUUCUUUGAGAGGGGAGAGAGGCAAAGAUUGUUUCUUUCUCCACCUAUUCCCUUUCGUUUGCAAAUAGGAAAGAACUGUGUUUGAAAAUGGCUGUUGUUUCUUCCUUACACAAAUUGUUCUUAAAAAGCUACAUGAUGACAGUCAUUUUACAGGAGUUUAUAUACUUUCCUAUGGUAUCACAUGAAAAUCAUCAUAGAAUCAUCACAGAAUGGCCUCGGUUGAAAAGGACCACAAUGAUCAUCAAGUUUCAACCCCCCUACUAUGUGCAGAGUGGCCAAAUGAGCCUUAUUAAUUUCUCCAGAGUAUGAAUUUGUAAAUUGUUUUCAUUUGCAGUAGAACUUGAGACAAAUGGAGAGGAAGACUAGAUUUGAUGAUUUUCACAAGUACAACGAUGAGACUUGUGUUCAUUUUUUUAAAAAUGCAAUAGAACAUUGUAGUUAAGGGAAUUGGAUGUAAGUCUUGUGCUAACUGAUAAAUGCAGAGUGCUGUUCCUUUCAAGGGACAUGAUCAGUUCUACUUUCUGAGCUACUCAGGAUAUUUUUUUAUAUAAAAUUCAUUUAACAGAAAAGAAGUAUGCUUCAGGUUGAGAAGCGUGAACCACUCACCUCUUUCAGCUAACAAUUACUACUCAUUAUUUUCAAUAGAAUAGAGGAUUUAGCUUUACUCCAUCCUCCAUUUAUGUCAGUAGAUAACAGCUGUCCAAAUACUGCUUGUAAAGCUUCGUCCCUGAUUUUUAGGGUUGUAAGAGUUUUUCCAUCAAUGAAAGAAGAAAAAAGUUGAAAAUUUCAGAUCAGGUCAUGACAGGGAAGCCAAAUAAAUGCUGUUGCUUUUUUAAAUAAUGUCAUUUUUCUGAUCUUGAAGAUUCAGGCCAAGAGAAAACAAAGGAGCUGGUCUCAAGAGGGAGAACAGGAUGAUAAUUGAAUUCUUGAGCUCUUUGUUGUCUUAAGAGUUAGGAAUAUAUUAAGAGACUUAAGUGUAGCUAAUGCCUAAUGAUGGUAGCCUUCUCAGUGGUUCAUUAAGUAGAGCAAGUACUAGUGCUGCUGUUCUAAAAGAUUUUGGAGCUGGAAAUAAAUCAGCUUUUCUUCGUCAUACUUAAGUUCAGCUCAAAAAGCGUUGAAGUUGUUGACUUACAUAAAGCUGUGAUGGACAGUAGUUCUAUCACUGUUUAUAUGAUGGUAGGAUUGCUUUUCUUAUGUGACGUGAAUGAAUCUUUAACACAGCAACUAGGCUAUUUCAAACCACUAUGUCAUGUUUCAACUCUGAAGAACAAUGCCCAAGAUCUAUGUAUGUCAGUAGGAAUUAUCCUGAAGUCAAACUGGUUACAUGGUCUCAGACAAAAAAAAUAUUUUGUGUUCAAAAAACAGUUGUUCCUCAUUUUUUCCUUUAUGGAUCCUUGACUGCUCAGAGAUGGCCAAAAUGAUACACAAAUUGGAAGAUCAAUAACUCUGAAUUCGGCAGAUGGCCAUAAGGUACGUUGGUACCGUAACCUACAGCACAGCAGGGGUAGAUCUCAUCCACCCGCCACUUUUAAUGGUUCUUCAGCUAUUGAAGUGUUUGCUGCAAGAGAUGCACUUAGUAUUAUCUAUUCUACUCUCAACGUGAAUUUUUUUCAUCUCAACAUUUCCAUGUUUUUAUGGUGAAAGCUCUCUGUUCUAAUGGAUCUAAGUCCUUGCUGACUGCUGAGGAUGACUUUUUUGAUGGUAGUUACCUAAACAGAAUAUCACUGGACAAGAUCCUUCAGAAAGGUUGUGUUUACCUUUGUAUAUAAUCAAUAGGAAAAAAACAACUCUUCUUUCUUGAGAAACUCUUAAUAAAACAUACCAUGGGCCUUAUGAAAGAA